rnacentral:rRNA from 1 species
UCGGGAAUUUUGGGCAAUGGGCGAAAGCCUGACCCAGCAACGCCGCGUGAGGGAUGAAGUAUUUCGGUAUGUAAACCUCGAAAGAAUGGGAAGAAUAAAUGACGGUACCAUUUAUAGGCUCCGGCUAACUACGUGCCAGCAGCCGCGGUAAUACGUAGGGAGCAAGCGGUGUUCGGAUUUACUGGGCGUAAAGGGCGCGUAGGCGGCGCGGUAAGUCACUUGUGAAAUCUCUGAGCUUAACUCAGAACGGCCAAGUGAUACUGCUGUGCUAGAGUGCGGAAGAGGCAACCGGAAUUCUUGGUGUAGCGGUGAAAUGCGUAGAUAUCAAGAGGAACACCUGAGGCGAAGGCGGGUUGCUGGGCCGACACUGACGCUGAUGCGCGAAAGCCAGGGGAGCAAACG